CGCAUAUAUUCCGGAGAGAGGCCGACAGGCCCGCCGAAGGGGAAAGUCGCGCAUGGCCUGAUGUCAUGGCGGCGAAGCUCUCAGGCACCAAGGACGGAGGGGGCGCG
rnacentral:ncRNA from 2 species